UACGAAGGGGGCUAGCGUUGUUCGGAUUUACUGGGCGUAAAGCGCACGUAGGCGGAUUGUUAAGUCAGGGGUGAAAUCCCAGAGCUCAACUCUGGAACUGCCUUUGAUACUGGGGAUCUCGAGUUCGGGAGAGGUGAGUGGAACUGCGAGUGUAGAGGUGAAAUUCGUAGAUAUUCGCAAGAACACCAGUGGCGAAGGCGGCUCACUGGCCCGAUACUGACGCUGAGGUGCGAAAGCGUGGGGAGCAAACAGG
rnacentral:rRNA from 1 species